rnacentral:rRNA from 1 species
GACGAACGCUGGCGGCGGGCUUAACACAUGCAAGUCGAACGGAAAGGCCCUGCUUUUGUGGGGUGCUCGAUUGGCGAACGGGUGCGUAACACGUGAGUAACCUGCCCUUGACUUUGGGAUAACUUCAGGAAACUGGGGCUAAUACCGGAUAGGAGCUCCUGCUGCAUGGUGGGGGUUGGAAAUUUUCGGCGGUUGGGGAUGGACUCGCGGCUUAUCAGCUUGUUGGUUGGGUAGUGGCUUACCAAGGCUUUGACGGGUAGCCGGCCUGAGAGGGUGACCGGCCACAAUGGGACUGAGAUACGGACCAGACUCCUACGGGAGGCAGAAGUGGGGAAUAUUGCACAAUGGGAGGAAGCCUGAUGCAGCAACGCCGCGUGCGGGAUGACGGCCUUCGGGUUGUAAACAGCUUUCGCCUGUGACGAAGCGUGAGUGACGGUAAUGGGUAAAGAAGCACCGGCUAACUACGUG